CGUACACUCCUGCGGGAGGCAGCAGUGGGGAAUAUUGCACAAUGGGCGCAAGCCUGAUGCAGCCAUGCCGCGUGUAUGAAGAAGGCCUUCGGGUUGUAAAGUACUUUCAGCGGGGAGGAAGGCGAUAAGGUUAAUAACCUUGUUGAUUGACGUUACCCGCAGAAGAAGCACCGGCUAACUCCGUGCCAGCAGCCGCGGUAAUACGGAGGGUGCAAGCGUUAAUCGGAAUUACUGGGCGUAAAGCGCACGCAGGCGGUCUGUCAAGUCGGAUGUGAAAUCCCCGGGCUCAACCUGGGAACUGCAUUCGAAACUGGCAGGCUAGAGUCUUGUAGAGGGGGGUAGAAUUCCAGGUGUAGCGGUGAAAUGCGUAGAGAUCUGGAGGAAUACCGGUGGCGAAGGCGGCCCCCUGGACAAAGACUGACGCUCAGGUGCGAAAGCGUGGGGAGCAAACAGGAUUAGAUACCCUAGUAGUCCCAUGAU
rnacentral:rRNA from 1 species